rnacentral:lncRNA from 1 species
UCAAAAUAAAUUUUGUGGAACGAUCUUUUUCUAAUUUUAUUAAAAGAAAAUGUCUGUUAACUCUAAAAAUAUGGAUUUAUUUGAUGACGAGCUUUUAAUAUUUUCGUUUUUUAUGAUCUUGGACCUAAUUUACACAAUAUGUGUUCAAUCACUUAAGGUUUGUCAGCAUAGACAAAAAGCAUAUCAUUCGAAUAUUUAUAUUAUUAUUAUGUAUCUAAUUACCAUAUAAGUACGUACUAUGACUAUGAUCUACAUCAAUCAUCAUACGGAUGAGGACAUUAUUUUUCCAAUAAAUAAACCAAUCGUUCGUCAUUUAUUUUAAUGCAAAAUGUAUAAAAAUUGUCAGUAAAACUUGGUCACACACUUAUAACAAAUUUUUAUUGGGCAUUUGACAGUAUUUUUAAUACUGCCUUCUGAUUGGUUCCGGGAAUACAACGGGAACGAGAAAGUUAAAACAUGGUCAACUUUCCCGUUCCCGUUACCGGACAGCUUCUCGUUCUCGGUUAUUGUGCAUCUACAACAUUAAUUUACGGUUAACUUUUUUCCCGUUCCCGGGCAAUUGUGCAGCCGCCUUAAACUGACAUGGCCAUAGACAUAGCUAAAUACGGACAUAAGGCAGGUACACGGACCCGAUCCGUCAACUGUCAGUGUCAGUUAAAUUCACACGUGAUAUUUGUGACAUUUGAUAGACGUCAAGUUUUAUUUUUGUUUGUAGAAAUGGAAUAUUUUAUAUUGCUUGUACAGCUGGUUCCAAAAAAAACUGAUACGACUCUUAAAGCGUAUUUUGUAGAAAAUUGAGCAGUGUACUUUCUUCUUCUUCUUCUUUUUGGUCUCGCUGCAAGGCAAUUACCAGCACGAUCAUAGAAGAGUAGGUGGGGAGCACGAUUUAUAGGCGAUCUUGAUGUAGUCUGGCUCUAAGCCAUACCAAAAUCGCUGACUACGUUCUUGUAAAAAGUUUUUGAUGAGGUGUGAUAUAAUGAAUAUGAGUUUAAUUAUAUUUAAUUUAUUAUAUUUUGAAGGAUAAAUACUUAUUAUUUACAUACUGUCAUUGUUACUGCCAAAUCUUAAAAUUGGUCAGAUAACUUCAACCUCAUAAAAUGGCAGUUUGUUUGUUUAUUUUAUUAUUUGCCUGUCAUAAUAAAUAUAAUAUAAUGUCAGACCAAUCAUACACUGCUCAAAAUGAUCAAAUCUUACUAAGAGUCCUAUCAGUUUUUUUAGGAACCAGCUGUACGUUAUUAUUUAAUUUCUAUAAAAUGGUAAUGUGUUGGGUACCCGAAUGGUUAUCAUUGAUAUUGAAAUCUGCUAAACGGAGUAAAACUACUCCUUUUAUGUUCCUGCUACUUUUAUAAAGAAAAUCUUCUCACCAUAUUUUCAAAUAGGACUAGUGAAGAUGCUGAAGAAAUGCAGUAGUACUAUCUUGUGUGUAAAUCCUUGAUUUUGUGUAAUUUAUAAAAUUGAAAGCAGUAUGAUAUGACUAACAAUGAUUGUGCCUUUAUAAAAAAAUAUAUCACAGGUACAAUAAUAAUGUAUUAUUGUCUUUUUUGAUAACUAUAAAAUGCGGUUACAAUGUUGUUUCAGCAUAACAUUCGUAUAGAUUUCCAUUUUAGCAUAUCAAGAACGAUCACAAUUUAGUGAAAGUGUACAUGGGAAUAACAACUACUGUAUAUUGAAAUAUUGUUUAAUAUUUAAUAUGCUAAGUAAUAUUCAGUUAGAAUAUUAUCAUGGAUCAUGGAUGGGUGAAAUAUCACAGUUUUAACAAAAAAAAAAGAAUGUGUUGUAUUUUGUACGCACCUAAGAAGUUAUACUUCUAUUAUAUGAUUUCAAUGAAAUAAACAUUUUAAACAGUU